GGAGUCUGCAGGGUGAGUGUGGACAGCUCAGCCAUGCUGUACACUGGGGUGGGGUGGGCUGUGUACAAGCAGCAACACCCAUUUUGUGUCUCAGGGCUUGGGAGGAGCGCCUCUCUCCAGCCCUUGGCAUCACCUGGGCUAACCAGCUCCUGAUGCAACUGAUGGUUGACCGGAUCCAUGAGGACAGUGUUACCACAGGCUUGCCCAGAAGCCCAGCUCGGACUCUACGAGUACUCUUCGCCCCCCACCUCCCCCUCUCCUCCUGCUGCUACACAGUCAGUGGGGAAGGAGUUAGAGGGAUGGCAGGAACUGAGUCCUGCUAACAGUAGGGCCAGUGCAUUAGCCUGACCCUGAUUCUGACGAAUCCUUCCAACAACCUGUGUCAGUCCAUGGCACCUGGUGAACUGGCUCCCAAUGACGGUCAGUCAGUAUCUGCUCUCUCCUCCCUGGGGUUCACCUACUGUUGAGCCUUGGGGUUUGGCCUCACACUACCUGUCAUAGGAUGUCCGACCAACAGGGGCUCUGGCAGCCCUGGGACCCCAGAAUGACUUAGCUCUUCUCUCUGCCUGGGACUUUCAGCAGCUUGGUGGGGCCUCCUCUCCUGCAGGAUGAUCUUAAUUCCCCCCAACCCCCACUACACACACACACACACACGCACACACACAUCCAUACACAUGCAUGCAUGCACACACAGUAACACACACCACUCAGGUCAAACGUGACUUGCAGUGAGGUACUCCCCCCACCGUGCCCCUCCACACACACAUACAACAACAUUUGGGGGCAGAGUGGAGAAAAUACUCUGAGGAAGGGAAACGGUGCUGACCUGAUUCAGUUGCCUGGGCUAAGCAGCUUUGGGCAACUUACAACAGGGUCUGUCCUCACUGCGGCUGGUUAGUGUGCCCAGCAACUCUGGCUUGGCAGUGCAUCUAGGCUGAAGGCACCACAGUGCACCCGACAGCAUGGAGUGCACACUCAGCCAGCGGCGGACAAGCGUCCUGGUAAGAUCUGCUCUGGACUCAGAAUCAACACCCUGUGGACUUGGGGCUCAACAGUCACCAAUGAACGUGACCUCUGAAGACAGGGCUGUGGUGACAAAGCCCUGUGCUUCAAGAUCCUGCCACGUAGCACAGGCUCCCACCAGCAAAUGUGCCAGGUGGAGACUCACCAGUGUGUGACUCCUCAAACCAGGUCAUACACUGUCACUGUCCCCACUCAAAUAUCGAAAAUAGUCCACUUAUGGUAUAUACCAUGACAUCUUCAGGGUGGCCCCAUCCUCUUCUGAGCUCAUCAACCUUCCAAAGGCCCCUGGGGUACUCCCCCCCCCCCGCCCCCGCAAUUCUGCACUAACCCUAAGUCUCCGGCAGGCAAUGCCCCACCUGGGUCUGAGAGGCUGAGGAUACUGACAUAAAUAAGGGGAUCGUGUGGAGUUUGUAUAAAACAGCUUCUCAGGGUUUUGUAUUGGGAAAUAAAACUAUUUUUGUAACAAGGU
rnacentral:lncRNA from 1 species